AGGGUGUAGACGCUGCAGACUUGGUGUUGGAAGCCCUUUGGGGGCAUUCAGUGCCGGAGAGAAGUUGUUAAGUCUGCUACUUGGGGAGUACGUCCGCAAGGAUGAAACUUAAAGGAAUUGGCGGGGAGCACCGCAACGGGAGGAGCGUGCGGUUUAAUUGGAUUCAACACCGUAAAACUCACCAGGGAAGACUGUUACAUGAAGGCCGGGAUGAAGACUCUGCUAGAUUUUCAGAGAGGAGGUGCAUGGCGUCAGUGACU
rnacentral:rRNA from 1 species